CUCAUUAAAUCUUCUUUUUCUUUUAAACUUUAUCCAGGUGCGGGAAUUUAAUUUAUCCUUGGAACUCGCAUGACUGUUCUUUAACAGAAGAUGCUGAUGAACCUGAAUUGGAUGAAGAUGCUGAUGAACUGGAAUUGGGAGUAGCAGAAGAUAAACCUGCAUUUGAUGAGGUUCAAGUUGUCAAACAUGAUGCUGCCGUAGCUAAAGUUGAUGAUGACCUUAAACUGUCCGAAGCAGAUGAUGAAUUGGGAGAAGAAGAUAAACCUGCAUUUGGUGAGGUUCAAGGUAUUAUUAAUUUAAAAGCAUCGAUAAAAAUAAAUGUGUGGAUAUAUGAAAUUUUUUACAAACAGUUGUCAAACAUGAAGUUGCUGUCGUAGCAGCCACUCCUCCCCUAGUGGAUCAGGCUGCAAAUCCUUCUGGACGAAAUGAAUGUUCUCUGGAAAGAAGAAAGAAAUCCCUUCAUCUUUUGAAAAUUGCCAAAAAACAAAGAAAGGAGGAAAAGGCUAAAAACUUGGCGGAUUAGUGCAAAAUAUUUGAGGAUAAUUGCAGCACCGAUUCUGAGGAAGAAUUUGACAAUGUCAUGUAAAUAGGUCCUUUUUUUUUGGCGUCACAUUUGUUCAAUUAAAAUUCUUUCCUCCUGUGUUUUCAACUUGAAACUAAUAAAUAGCGAUCGAUAAACUCA